GAUGAACGCUGGCGGCGUGCUUAAUACAUGCAAGUCGAGCGAACGGACGAGAAGCUUGCUUCUCUGAUGUUAGCGGCGGACGGGUGAGUAACACGUGGAUAACCUACCUAUAAGACUGGGAUAACUUCGGGAAACCGGAGCUAACACCGGAUAAUAUUUUGAACCGCAUGGUUCAAAAGUGAAAGACGGUCUUGCUGUCACUUAUAGAUGGAUCCGCGCUGCAUUAGCUAGUUGGUAAGGUAACGGCUUACCAAGGCAACGAUGCAUAGCCGACCUGAGAGGGGGAUCGGCCACACUGGAUCGUAGCCAGGGUCCAGACUCCUGCGAGAGGCAGCAGUAGGGAAUCUUCCGCAGUGGGCGAGAGCCUGGCGGAGCAACGCCGCGUGAGUGGUAACGGUCUUCGGUUCGUAAAACUCUGUUAUUAGGGAAGAACAUAUGUGUAAGUAGCUGUGGACAGCUUGACGGUACCUGGUCAAAAAGCCACGGCUAACUACGUG
rnacentral:rRNA from 1 species